rnacentral:lncRNA from 1 species
AGGCCAGGAGAGAUGGGGGAAAGGAAUCUGUUGCCAAGGCUAGUGACCUGAAUUUGCCAUGUGACAGGAUACCGGCAGUCUAGUCCAAUAGCAAGCCACCAUGCUCCACCGAACAGGCAUGAGUCAGCGGGAAGAGACAAGAAUCAGCUGGAAUACCAUGAGAAGUCCUUUUGUGCGUUUCUCUCUAGGAAGUGAAGACCAGCAAAGACCACCGAAGGCUGGAAACAUCUCUCUGACAGCUUCCAGAAAAACAUCACGUGACAAACUGAGUUUCCAAAGAAACCAGAAAUUUCCACUUUGUGAAAACCUGUUUAACAAAACAAAACAAGGCCUGUGGCUACAGGAGUUGGUAGAGUUUAUCUUGCCUAGAGCACAAAGUCCUGGGCUUAAUUCCUAGCACUGCAUAAAAACCAAGCUAUGGGACACAUUUGAGGCUAUGGUCUAUGUUUCAAAAACAAAGAAAUCCCUCACACCUGAUACCUGUUGGUGAAUCAUUUCCCCCUCCUCAGGGGGUGCCAGACACUGUUAGUCAUCCCUACAGUGCUACCUCAGCACCUGGUUCAGAGGUUUAGUCCAUUAUCAUCAAGGUGGGAGCAUGGCAGUGUCCAGGAAGGCAUGGUGCUGGAGGAGCUGAGAGUUCUACAUCU